rnacentral:lncRNA from 1 species
UUGAGGUCUGAUACCAUGAGACAGUCAAUAUAAAGCCCUGAUAAAAGUAUUAUUGGAACUUUAUGGGCUGGUUUUCUGGACAGAUAUCAAGCCUUGUCCUGGAGUAAAAAGUACGCUCAAUGGAUAAAGCUUUUCAGUCCAGGACUAGGCUUGAUCUAUGUCCGGGAAACUGUUCCUAAAUAUGAUAAUAAAAACAUAUUACUUACACCACACACAGCCACUUGCAUGAUGGCAUCGAAGCCUCCCUCUGGUGAGUCCAGGUUUCCAUCGAUCUGCUGUUGACCAACCAGGGUGUUAAACUCCUGUCCAUUGCUGGUCAGCUUCAGGAGGUUCUUAUAGCUGAGGGUGAGUUUCUGUGGCUGGAUCUGUGUGAUGUCCUCUGGUCGGAGUUUCCCUUCUCCCUGGUUGCGGUUGGUCACAACCUUGUCCUUCAGGACCCGCUGGCUGCCUCGGGGGUUCUCUACCUUGGCGGAGCUGCAACCUCUCUUCCACAGGGACUCCAGCUCGUCACAGCGGGUCGAUGUGGCCUCACCCUGCUUCAGGAACUCCUGGGAGAGAGGAGACCUGAGCCCUGGGACCAUGCUUCAAGACUACCUGGCCUGAUGACUCCUUGCUGUCCCCAGUCCACCUGGUCGUGCUGCUGCUCCAGUUUCAACUGUUCUGCCUGCGGCUAUGGAACCCUGACCUGUUCACCGGACGUGCUACCUUGUCCCGGACCUGCUGUUUUCGACUCUCUCUCUACCGCACCUGCUGUCUCUAACUCUGAAUGCUCUGCUAUGAAAAGCCAACUGACAUUUACUCCUGAGGAGACUAUGAGAAAGGAGUAGGCCACCUGACCAAUCUUUAUGUGCUGGCAACGCCAGAAGCUCCUCCAGUGGACUUUACCACCUCCUGUGUCCCAGAUUUAGCUGAAACUGCCCACCAUUAGCUAGAUCAAUCAUCCAGAACCUUGUACCAUACAAGAUUUGGCAUGGGUCCCCAGAUCCUCAAAAGGUUCUACAGCUGCACCAUCGAGAGCAUCCUGACCGGUUGCAUCACCGCCUAGUAUGGCAACUGCUCGGCAUCUGACCGUAAGGGGCUACAGAGGGUAGUGCGUACGGCCCAGUACAUCACUGGGGCCAAACUUCCUGCCAUCCAGGACCUAUAUAAUAGGCGGUGUCAGAGGAAAGCCCAUAAAGUUGCCAGAGACUCCAGUCACCCAAGUCAUAGACUGUUUUCUCUGCUAUCGCACGGCAAGCGGUACCGGAGCACCAAGUCUAGGACCAAAAGGCUCCUUAACAG